CACGUUAUUGUGUUGCUUGCUUUUAUGUAUUGUAUUGUUAUAAUGCCCGCUUACCCGUCUGGCCGUAGGCGAAUAUGCAUGCAUUAUAGCCCUGAAAUGCAUUAUCCAGUAUAUCACGUCCCACGCAAUCGAAGACCGUCUCCUGUGAUGCAAAGCUGUCAUCCUCUGGGUUUAGCGAGUAGAAGCAAUGAUCGAAUGCAAAUGCCUUUGGUUGUUUUCUGCGUGAAUCAAACUUACCUUUCCAUUUUCUCCAGUGACGGUGGAUUUUGGAGUAUCGUUUGCUGUUUUUCCAUUUCCACGAUGCAUUUUGUACCCAAUUCGAUUUCUGUAAACAGAAUAAAGGAUGCAAAAAUAUAUUAGUGUAAAGCAUAUGA